rnacentral:rRNA from 1 species
UACGUAGGGUGCGAGCGUUAAUCGGAAUUACUGGGCGUAAAGCGUGCGCAGGCGGUUUUGUAAGCCAGAUGUGAAAGCCCCGGGCUUAACCUGGGAAUGGCAUUUGGGACUGCAAGGCUUAGUGCGGCAGAGGAGACUGGAAUUCCUGGUGUAGCAGUGAAAUGCGUAGAUAUCAGGAGGAAUACCGAUGGCGAAGGCAGGUCUCUGGGCUGACACUGACGCUCAUGCACGAAAGCGUGGGGAGCAAACAGG